UAAAGCAAAUCCCUCCUCCUUCUCCCCACAUGAGUCCAGGGGAGUUGGCAGAGGAAAACCAUUGAAAGAUUUGGGCACCACCUUUCUCCAAUCCCCCAUCUAUGCCACUGUUCCAAUUAAAAGACUGUUCUCAUCCUGUCCGCUUGCUGGUAAAACCCCCACAUUUACAGUAGGUGACCACUGGCCUACACACCCCAUUUCUCCCCUAACACCAGCUUAUAUAUUAUCCCUCACCAUUACUCAUUCUGGAUGGAGGCAUUCUCCACAGGCUGGUAUAUCUGUUAUAUCAACACAUAGGAUCACAACCAAUGCACACACACACACACACACACACAACAAAUCUUACCUUUGUUAAAAGAUUGCAGGGGAUCAGUUCGCCAUGUGGGGAAGCAGGGCAAAGCUCCCCAUCUGUAUAUUUGGACUCCUUUUGAGUGAUGGUUCUUCCUGUCUGCUUUAAGUCCCAUCCCUGAGAACACUAAAGUGCUCUUCAACUGGUACUGUUCAAUAGAUUUAAUAAAAGGCCAUGGUCGUCAACUAUCACCAGUUCUCGACAAUGUAGGAUGGUAUCUAUUGCCUCGAGAUUUAUUUCUUUUUUGUAUAUGUGUAUAGUUUGAGAUUCUCCUUUGAAGGUAUGGUUUUGAGCUAUGCAACAUGUUGCUGAAGCAAAUGAUACUGAGGUUUUGCAUGUUAGAUGAGUUGCAGGUCACUGAACACAGCAGUAGGAUGCCUGAGGCUGGCAAUGUAGGUUGUGUAUGGCUUCUUGUCUGUUCAAGUUUUGACAAACAAUCGCGUGCUAGAUCUUUUCAUAGCAGUGAGAAUUUUCGGGUCACGCCAGUUGGGGUCUGUGAGCAGUAUUUGCAUUUCAGUUGAGCAAGUCAGGAGCAAAUUUGGCAGUAUGUUAGGCUAUUCUAAAUACAGUUAUUACUUGGGAGAGAGUGACACUGGAUCCAGUGUCGUCAUCUGAGGUUGGAGAAGUAUCUGGUGAUUUGUAUGCUUGUAGUUCAACUGGCAGUUAAAAGCAGCAGAACAUAGUGUGAGUGGUGUGAGAAUAUUUUUCAUGCACUGUGCGUAUUUCUUACACUUGAGCUUGUGAUGUUGUAGUAUUGUAUUUACUCCAAUCAUUGUUUCAGGUUCUAUGUUUUGGUUUUCUGCAUAAAGGCAAGCCCAUACCAAAUGUUGACAUCACUUGCAGCCAUAGUUGGAGGACUCAUUGGAGCUAUUGCAUUGUUGGUGAUUGUUGUUUGGUUUCUUUGGUUUUGUAUACUGCGGCGUAGAUUACCCUCAAAUAGAAAUUCUGAGACUGGUUCAUCGGACCCUCCAACUAUAG
rnacentral:lncRNA from 1 species